rnacentral:rRNA from 1 species
CACGUGGGUAACCUGCCUGUAAGACUGGGAUAACUCCGGGAAACCGGGGCUAAUACCGGAUGGUUGUUUGAACCGCAUGGUUCAAACAUAAAAGGUGGCUUCGGCUACCACUUACAGAUGGACCCGCGGCGCAUUAGCUAGUUGGUGAGGUAACGGCUCACCAAGGCAACGAUGCGUAGCCGACCUGAGAGGGUGAUCGGCCACACUGGGACUGAGACACGGCCCAGACUCCUACGGGAGGCAGCAGUAGGGAAUCUUCCGCAAUGGACGAAAGUCUGACGGAGCAACGCCGCGUGAGUGAUGAAGGUUUUCGGAUCGUAAAGCUCUGUUGUUAGGGAAGAACAAGUACCGUUCGAAUAGGGCGGUACCUUGACGGUACCUAACCAGAAAGCCACGGCUAACUACGUGCCAGCAGCCGCGGUAAUACGUAGGUGGCAAGCGUUGUCCGGAAUUAUUGGGCGUAAAGGGCUCGCAGGCGGUUUCUUAAGUCUGAUGUGAAAGCCCCCGGCUCAACCGGGGAGGGUCAUUGGAAACUGGGGAACUUGAGUGCAGAAGAGGAGAGUGGAAUUCCACGUGUAGCGGUGAAAUGCGUAGAGAUGUGGAGGAACACCAGUGGCGAAGGCGACUCUCUGGUCUGUAACUGACGCUGAGGAGCGAAAGCGUGGGGAGCGAACAGGAUUAGAUACCCUGGUAGUCCACGCCGUAAACGAUGAGUGCUAAGUGUUAGGGGGUUUCCGCCCCUUAGUGCUGCAGCUAACGCAUUAAGCACUCCGCCUGGGGAGUACGGUCGCAAGACUGAAACUCAAAGGAAUUGACGGGGGCCC